CUCGACUACAUGAAGCUGGAAUCGCUAGUAAUCGUAGAUCAGCAUGCUACGGUGAAUACGUUCCCGGGUCUGUACACACCGCCCGUCACACCACGAGAGUUUGUAACACCCGAAGCCGGUGGAGUAACCUUUUAGGAGCUAGCCGUCGAAGGUGGGACAAAUGAUUGGGGUGAAGUCGUAACAAGGUAGCCGUAUCGGAAGGUGCGGCUGGAUCACCUCCUUUCUAAGGA
rnacentral:rRNA from 1 species